GUAGGGCGCGAGCGUUGUCCGGAUUUAUUGGGCGUAAAGAGCUCGUAGGCGGUUUGUCGCGUCGUCCGUGAAAACCUGUGGCUUAACUACAGGCUUGCGGUCGAUACGGGCAGGCUGGAGUUCGGUAGGGGAGACUGGAAUUCCUGGUGUAGCGGUGAAAUGCGCAGAUAUCAGGAGGAACACCGGUGGCGAAGGCGGGUCUCUGGGCCGAUACUGACGCUGAGGAGCGAAAGCGUGGGGAGCGAACAGGAUUAGAUACCCUGGUAGUCCACGCUGUAAACGUUGGGCGCUAGGUGUGGGGGGCCUCUCCGGUUUCCUGUGCCGUAGCUAACGCAUUAAGCGCCCCGCCUGGGGAGUACGGCCGCAAGGCUAAA
rnacentral:rRNA from 1 species